AUACGGAGGAUGCGAGCGUUAUCCGGAUUUAUUGGGUUUAAAGGGUGCGUAGGCGGAUUGAUAAGUCAGUGGUGAAAACCUGCAGCUUAACUGUAGACUUGCCGUUGAUACUGUCAGUCUUGAGUGUGGUCAAGGUAGGCGGAAUGUGUAAUGUAGCGGUGAAAUGCUUAGAUAUUACACAGAACACCGAUUGCGAAGGCAGCUUACUGGGCCAUUACUGACGCUGAUGCACGAAAGCGUGGGGAUCGAACAGGAUUAGAUACCCUGGUAGUCCACGCCGUAAACGAUGAUCACUCGCUGUUAGCGAUACACAGUUAGCGGCUAAGCAAAAGCAUUAAGUGAUCCACCUGGGGAGUACGGCCGCAAGGCUGAA
rnacentral:rRNA from 1 species